UACGUAGGUGGCAAGCGUUAUCCGGAUUUAUUGGGCGUAAAGGGAACGCAGGCGGUCUUUUAAGUCUGAUGUGAAAGCCUUCGGCUUAACCGGAGUAGUGCAUUGGAAACUGGGAGACUUGAGUGCAGAAGAGGAGAGUAGAACUCCAUGUGUAGCGGUGAAAUGCGUAGAUAUAUGGAAGAACACCAGUGGCGAAGGCGGCUCUCUGGUCUGUAACUGACGCUGAGGUUCGAAAGCGUGGGUAGCAAACAGG
rnacentral:rRNA from 1 species